UGGGGAAUAUUGGACAAUGGGCGGAAGCCUGAUCCAGCAACGCCGCGUGAGGGAUGACGGCCUUCGGGUUGUAAACCNCUUUCAGUNCCGACGAAGCGAAAGUGACGGUAGGUACAGAAGAAGGACCGGCCAACUACGUGCCAGCAGCCGCGGUAAUACGUAGGGUCCGAGCGUUGUCCGGAAUUAUUGGGCGUAAAGGGCUCGUAGGCGGUUUGUCGCGUCGGGAGUGAAAACAGCGGGCUUAACUCGUUGCUUGCUUUCGAUACGGGCAGACUAGAGGUAUGCAGGGGAGAAUGGAAUUCCUGGUGUAGCGGUGAAAUGCNCAGAUAUCAGGAGGAACACCGGUGGCGAAGGCGGUUCUCUGGGCAUUACCUGACGCUGAGGAGCGAAAGUGUGGGGAGCGAACAGGACUAGAUACCCUGGUAGUCCACACCGUAAACGUUGGGCGCUAGGUGUGGGGUCCUUUCCACGGAUUCCGUGCCGUAGCUAACGCAUUAAGCG
rnacentral:rRNA from 1 species